UCUGAUAGGAGCUGUGGUGAUGAAAUUUUCCAACACAAAAGAAAAAUACAUAGAAGCAGUACGGUAAUCAAAUACUGGCUGAAGUCUCCAAAAACUCGGUUUACCAGCAAAGAGAAAUCUAAAAAUGUUCAAACACCGGAUCCUGGAGGAAAAUCUGAAUGCU